rnacentral:rRNA from 1 species
CCAAACUGUUGCCUCGGCGGGAACUCAUGCCCCGGGUGCGUCGCAGCCCCGGACCAAGGCGCCCGCCGGAGGACCAACCAAAACUCUUUUUGUAUACCCCCUCGCGGGUUUUUUAUAAUCUGAGCCUUCUCGGCGCCUCUCGUAGGCGUUUCGAAAAUGAAUCAAAACUUUCAACAACGGAUCUCUUGGUUCUGGCAUCGAUGAAGAACGCAGCGAAAUGCGAUAAGUAAUGUGAAUUGCAGAAUUCAGUGAAUCAUCGAAUCUUUGAACGCACAUUGCGCCCGCCAGUAUUCUGGCGGGCAUGCCUGUCCGAGCGUCAUUUCAACCCUCGAACCCCUCCCGGGGGGUCGGCGUUGGGGAUCGGCCCUCCUCUUGCGGGGGCCGUCUCCGAAAUACAGUGGCGGUCUCGCCGCAGCCUCUCCUGCGCAGUAGUUUGCACACUCGCAUCGGGAGCGCGGCGCGUCCACAGCCGUUAAACACCCAACUUCUGAAAUGUUGACCUCGGAUCAGGUAGGAAUACCCGCUGAACUUAAGCAUAUCAAUAAGCGGAGGAA